UUGUUUUUGGGUGUAAUAUCAAUAUAAAGUGACAUUCUUGCACUUCUAAACAAGACUCAUUCAAAUGAAUCUUGUAUUAUUACAAAAUAUUGUGUAACAUAUUCCUAUUAUAACUCCAAAAUUUUAUUCAAAAUAUGAUUGUGAAGUGCUUGAAGAUACAGACCCAAAGAUUAUCGAGGAGUUGAAGAGAUUACAAGAAACUGGGCCAAAAGAAAAAUACACUGGACCUGCCACUGAGAACCAUAGGUAAUUCAGCUAUUUCAGAAAAACGAACAGAAGGAUUCUGCUGUUACUUUGAAAUGUGUUUGUGUGCAGUUUGUUUUCUGCUCGGUCAUGCUAGAAGAUUAAUCACUAACCUUUGUCAUAUAAAAUAUGAAUAUCACAAACAUUUGCAAAUAUACUACAUUGAAACAGAUAGUGGCAAUUUAAGAAGUUGCCCAUUGGGCAACAACAGAUCAAUCAAUAAAUGUAGUACGUAACAACAUUAGCUUUCAAACAUUCAUACUUUAGGACAAACAAUGAGAAUGGACAGUUUUUAAAAUGUACAUUCUGUGACAGGUAUGGGUGGUACACAGAUCUUGAGCAUGGCUGUGAUAGAAGAGAUACAAGAUUUUAUUUUCCACGGCAUGUUUCACAAAUAGUGAAAAUAAAGUCAUUAAUUGAUCAUGCAGAAUCUGUGACAAAGUCUAAAAAAUUAUAGUUUGCACAACUAAAGGAACAAUAAAGUACAAUGUAUCAUUAUAGCAGAAGUGAUUACUCUCUUGUUAAUUCAGAACAAGUAUUCAGUUCUUUGCAGGUAAAAUUAUGAAAUUAAAACAGUUUAGAGUCUAUUUGUGAGCAGUUACAUUAAAGAUGUUUAAUACUGGAAUGCAAAGAGUUAGAAUCAGAUGGGGUAUAUAGACUGGCUUUAUCUGGUUCAGGAUAGAGACCAAUGGAAGGCCUUGGUAACAUGAUAAAAAAAUCUUCCAUACAAUUUUGGGAAAUUCUUGAACAGUAGAGCAGCCCUUGGCUUAUCAAAAAGGACUGGGCUCCACGGAUUUAGUUAGCUAGUUUAAUACUGGGAGACAAAUAUCAACGUUCAAUGCAAGAUUAAUGUUGUAAUUGAACAUUAUGAGAAUUUUAAUAAUGUGAACAACAUCAGUAUUUUGAUAAUCUUAUAAUUGUUGAAAAUUGUUAAAA